GGAAUAUUGGACAAUGGGCGAAAGCCUGAUCCAGCCAUGCCGCGUGUGUGAAGAAGGCCUUUUGGUUGUAAAGCACUUUAAGUGGGGAGGAAAAGCUAAUAGCUAAUACCUAUUAGCCCUGACGUUACCCACAGAAUAAGCACCGGCUAACUCUGUGCCAGCAGCCGCGGUAAUACAGAGGGUGCAAGCGUUAAUCGGAAUUACUGGGCGUAAAGCGCGCGUAGGUGGUUACUUAAGUCAGAUGUGAAAGCCCUGGGCUUAACCUAGGAACUGCAUCUGAUACUGGGUAACUAGAGUAGGUGAGAGGGAAGUAGAAUUCCAGGUGUAGCGGUGAAAUGCGUAGAGAUCUGGAGGAAUACCGAUGGCGAAGGCAGCUUCCUGGCAUCAUACUGACACUGAGGUGCGAAAGCGUGGGUAGCAAACAGGAUUAGAUACCCCUG
rnacentral:rRNA from 1 species